AGGGGAGCAAUCCCUGAGUACAGUGGCGUACGGGUGAGUAACACGUGGAUGAUCUACCCAAUGGUGAGGAAUAACCCUGGGAAACCGGGGCUAAUACCGCAUAAGCCCGAGAGGGGAAAGUCGCAAGACGCCGAUGGAGGAGUCCGCGGCCGAUUAGCUAGUUGGCAGGGUAAAAGCCUACCAAGGCAAAGAUCGGUAGCCGGCCUGAGAGGGCACACGGCCACACUGGCACUGAAACACGGGCCAGACUCCUACGGGAGGCAGCAGUGGGGAAUCUUGCACGAUGGGGGAAACCCUGAUGCAGCGACGCCGCGUGAGCGAUGAAGCCCUUCGGGGUGUAAAGCUCUUUCGGCAGGGAAGAUGAUGACGGUACCUGCAGAAGCAGCUGCGGCUAACUACGUGCCAGCAGCCGCGGUAAUACGUAGGCAGCAAGCGUUGUUCGGAAUUACUGGGCGUAAAGGGUGUGUAGGCGGUUGUUUAAGUUUGGUGUGAAAUCUCCCGGCUCAACUGGGAGGGUGCGCCGAAUACUGAAUGACUCGAGUGCGGGAGAGGAGAGUGGAAUUCCUGGUGUAGCGGUGAAAUGCGUAGAUAUCAGGAGGAACACCGGUGGUGUAGACGGCUCUCUGGACCGUAACUGACGCUGAGACACGAAAGCGUGGGUAGCAAACAGGAAUAGAUACCCUGGUAGUCCACGCC
rnacentral:rRNA from 1 species